CCUACGGGAGGCAGCAGUGAGGAAUAUUGGUCAAUGGGCGCGCGCCUGAACCAGCCAAGUCGCGUGAGGGAAGACGGCCCUACGGGUUGUAAACCUCUUUUGCCGGGGAGCAACGGGCGCCCCGUGUGGCGCCCCUGAGAGUUCCCGGAGAAAAUGCAUCGACUAACUCCGUGCCAGCAGACGCGGUAAUUCGGAGGAGUCAAGCGUUAUCCGGCUUCAUUGGGUUUAAGGGGUGCGUAGGCGGGCGGAUAGGUUAGAGGUGAAAUCCCGAGGCUCAACUUCGGAAUUGCCUCUGAUACUGUUCGGCUAGAGAGUAGUUGCGGUAGGCGGAAUGUAUGGUGUAGCGGUGAAAUGCUUAGAGAUCAUACAGAACACCGAUUGCGAAGGCAGCUUACCAAGCUACUUCUGACGUUGAGGCACGAAAGCGUGGGGAGCAAACAGGAUUAGAUACCCGAGUAGUC
rnacentral:rRNA from 1 species